GAGGGCAUAGCUUAGUGGUAGAGCGUGUGCUUAACAUGCUUGAGGUCCUGGGUUCAAUCCCCCGUACCUCCA
rnacentral:tRNA from 1 species